UUCGCAAUGCCCGAAAGGGUGACGAAGCGACGCCGCGUGUGGGAAGAAGGCCUUCGGGUUGUAAACCACUGUCGGGAGUUAAGAAAUGCAAGAAUGUUAAUAGCGUUUUUGCUUGACUAAGGCUCCGGAGGAAGCCACGGCUAACUCUGUGCCAGCAGCCGCGGUAAUACAGAGGCGGCAAGCGUUGUUCGGAAUUAUUGGGCGUAAAGAGCACGUAGGCGGCUAUAUAAGUCGGUUGUGAAAGCCUUCCGCUCAACGGGAGAACAGCAUCCGAUACUGUAUGGCUUGAGUGUGGGAGGGGAGAGCGGAACUUCUGGUGGAGCGGUGAAAUGCGUAGAUAUCAGAAGGAACGCCGGCGGCGAAAGCGGCUCUCUGGCCCAUAACUGACGCUGAGUGUGCGAAAGCUAGGGGAGCAAACGGGAUUAGAUACCCCGGUAGUCCUAGCCGUAAACGAUGGGCACUAAGUAGAGGGGUUUU
rnacentral:rRNA from 3 species